rnacentral:sRNA from 1 species
AAAUGUUCGCGCUGCUGGUCCCGCGCGGGCGGCACCUGGGCUUUGUGUCCACUAGGACCGCGGGCCGGGCUCCUUGCACGCGCGGGCGGCGCCGGACGGCGCUCAGCAACCACCCGGACAGGGCCAGGCCGUUUUUUCCCGCUCAGGCAUUAGUCGUCGGUUGUGGGCCGCCGCGGGAAGUUGAGGCCUACUACGGAUGAGGUUGCUGAGGUGAAUCUGAGGGGAUCCGCAAUGGCUCCCUCACCCUUGCCGGGACUCUGGGAACCCGAAACAAAAUCCUACACCACCAGCCCGCCGAAUGCGCCCCCUCGGCCGGGGGUCCCGGGUCUUCAGAGAAGAACUCGGCCGAAUGCGGUCAGAAAGCCCGCGAACCGCCUGGACCUGUAGGCCCCGCCGCUUGGAGCUCCCGCCUUUCCCGACCGAGCCCGUGUCUGCUCGUGUGUCUCACUGAUGUCUUAGGUUUAAAAGAAAAGAAAAGGUUUUUAGUAGACAGAAGAGAAAUGGGGCCGUGGGUUCGCGGUCCCGGGGGAAACUGACGUCGCAUGAGGUCGUCGUCCCUCAGCUUGAGCUCAGCGGAACGUGAGCUUGCAGAGGUGGAAACCACGGAAGGUUUGGGUGUCUUGGAGCUCCCUGGACACCGAAGCCGGGACACAGUCCCGGGGUCCGCACUGCCUGUGACCUGCGGCGGGACCGCCGGGGUGGGCGUUUUCUCAGCGGGCGCGCGCGUAGGCGGGACUUGGGAAACUAACUGGAGCGAAGUGCCAGAAAACCAAGACGGGGCGGGUGACCUCGCGCAGGCCGUCCUUUCCUGUGGAGUAUUCCUUCAGCUAACCCCUUUAUUUCAUGUGUCCAAGUCUGGUUUCUGGGUUUCUUCGUAGUCCCUCCGGGCCUGUUCGUGCGCCUUCCCUUGCAAACGGUUCGUCGUGGAGGGCCGUGUGCUUGUUUGCGGCAGUAACGAUGCCCUUCCCGAGCGUGCUGGAGUGGCUCCUCGCUGACGCAAGCUCACCUUGCUGCCUCCUCAGCAACUACAACUUAAACGCGCCCUCAGGAAGCCCUGGAAUCUCGCUCAGGAUUUUUUUUUCUUUUUUUGAGACAGUCUCGCUGCGACGCCCAGGCUAUAGCGCAAUGGCGCGAUCUCGGCUCACUGCAACCUCCCUCAGGAAGCCGUGGAAGCUCGACCGCCAGAAACUUCCUUCUCCUGACUCAGGCCACAGUCUUCCGUGUGGCUGGUCUCCAGGAGGUAAGGCCAGCCCUGCAGGCGACACUGGUGCUUGGGCUCCUGCUGAGCAGGUCUUUCCUGCGAGUUAACAGAAACAGAGAGGGAGGUGGGCUGCGGCCUCCCCUGCGCCUGCAGUCGUCUCCUGCAGCUCCCACCAUGCUGGACACAUCAGCAGCAGAGCAAGUGACCCGACUGACGCUGAAGCUCUUGGGGCAGAAGCUGGAGCAAGAACGGCAGAACAUGGAAAGGGGACCUGAGGGCCUCCACCUCGAGCCAGGAAAUGAGGACUGGCCAGACAAUGCCCUGCAGACUGCUCUGAAGAGAAGGAGGGACCUUCUGCAGAGACUCCGGGUAGGCCCUGCACCCUCCGAGCGAACCUGGCUCAACUCACUGUAGCAGAGAUAGCUGCUCGGCCUUAAGGCACCAGGUCGGGGAGUAUUGGGGAAGACCUUUCCAGACUCUCAGGGCCAGGCCCCAGCAAGGACACUGUUAGCUUAGAGACCUGCCUGGGUGCAGGUUUUCAUCAGGGCUGGAAAUGUUGAGUAGGGGCCCAAUUCCAGGAGGACCUGGAAUUCUGGGAUGUCUGGAGGUUUGCUCCCACGGCACUCACCAAAGAUGCAUCUGAGUGGCAGAGAUGUAGGGGAGGUGGGGCCGCUUUUCUAGGGGGAGACCUAGAAAAAAGUAGGCCUGGAACUGGCUUGAAAGAGAGAAUAGACCCUGUUGGCUGGGAAAAGAAAACAACUGGAAACUAGCUGACACACCUGGGUCAAUUUCAGGAGGCCACCCUCAUGCAUAUACCCCUGGAAGGGUCUUCCAGCCAUGGCCAUCCUGCCUGGAGAGGCUCCCGUACCUGCCCAGGCUGGCCUGAGCCUCAGGCUGGGGGUGCCUCUGUGGCGCUGGGGCUCCCCCUCCCCGUGUGCAGCAGCUCUGCAUCGGCCUUGCAGGAACAACACC